AGGAACUAGCACUGAUCCAGUAGCAGAUUAGUCAUUUAAACAGAAACCUCUUAACCCUAGGACUUGACUUAACAGAGGGCUAACCUUAAUCAUUAGGUCGUAAUCAUAAUCAUCAAACUUAAACAGAUCAUCUUAGGGAUCUAAUCUAGGCUUAACCAUGCUCAAGAUACCAUUGUUAGAUUUAUAAUCCCGUAGGAUCUACUUAACAGAUCGUAAGCCAGGCAUUAGAUCACCUAAUAGCACAGAUCAGAGAGAUGGAUUAGGUUCUUACCACCAACGAAAGCAGCCAUUGGUGUCGACGGUGCGAAGUCCCGUGCCUGCUCGAUGCAGGCUUGAUGCAGGCUCGGUGAAGAGGCUCGGUGAAGAUGCACAGAUCAAGCAAAAUGCCACAUGGGAUUUUAUUUAUAUCUCUACUACUAUUAAACAAACAAACAUAUUCUUAAACGCACCCGAAAACACGUACACACAAAACUACCGAGAGAAAAUAUCACCACACGAUCUGACCCACCUAAUUAGAUCUAACCGUCAACGUAAAACUUAACCCUCACCUGUGUACGUCUAGCAAUUCACGUGGGCGGACGAAACUCUGCCAUAUCUAUCGAACCCUUGUAGUCUGCGGCCAGAAAAAAAUAAUAAAGCGAUCAAUUCCAGAAAAAUAGGCACAAUUAACGCGUCCUCCCCUGCCGCGGACGCUGCCGCUGGCGAUUGUGACGGCCACGAGAAUCCCCUCGGCGUCGGCGUCCCUGGCGGCUGCACUCGCCGAGCCAUCCUCGGGAUCAUCCGCUGGUCCGCUCCCUUGGGCUCUCCGAGACCUAGCACCCAUUCCCUUAUUUCACGUCCCGUCGAGGAAGACCGGUAAGAGUAGGCAGGGGGAGAUGGGAAUGGGAGGUCGGUCCUGUGGUACGCGGCGAGGGACGAGGCACCGCUGCGGCAGGAGAAGAAAGCGCGGGAGCUGACGCCCGCGGAGCGCCUGCUCGACCCCGUCGAGCUGAAGCGGCUGCGGCGGGCGGGAUGGGGGACGAGUCGGUGUGGGCCAAGAAGUCCGGGGUGACGACAAGGUGAUGGAGGGCGUACGUGUGCAGGGUGUGAUCCGGCUGCCAGGAUCUCGCUACCAUCUGGGUCGUCGAGCCGCAGUGUGGGGUGACGGAAGCCACGACAAACCCGCAGCAGCCGGCGUCGCAGUCGGCAAGCGAGCCUGAGAAGUGGCGUGGUGGAGCGGCCCCUGCGUUGCAGUCAUCAAUAGUAAAGGGCCUCCCUUAGCUGGUAUAAUGUGACGUACAAGGCUGAGGAGACUGUCAAGGAUUUGAUGGCCAAGACUCCCAAGUUCAAUGCCCUGCUGCGGUUGCCCAAUCGCCUAGACAGGCCCCACCACAUUCUCCCCAUAGGAUCCUGAGGCUUUCAUUUACAGAGAAGCACAUCAAUGGAGAAAAAAGGUGUGGUGAAAGGCAAUCUGUUUCAGGUACAUACUCUGUACUGAUUAAAACAUAUGAGCAAGGUUGCCAAAAUGAUAUUCUGUCUCUAUUCUGUCUCAAAAUGUUUUCUAGAACCUGACCUCAUAAAUUUUGUUGUCUUAUUCAUAUUUGUUCUCUACGACUUUUUGUCCAUAGCUUUUGGUCUCAUUCUCUUCAUUGUGUUGGGAUUUUACAAGCAUUGAGCAGUCACAUGGCAAGUAUAAGGGACAUCCUCACUGCAACAGUGAGGUUGAAAUAAGUUCAGGUGAUCAAUCAAGGCAAUAAAUUGUAUCAUAUUCUUCUGAAUGAAGAGGUACCUAUCCCCACUGUUUCAAAAUCGAAUAUCGGAAUGGUGCUUUGGUUUUUUUUACUCUUAUUUGUUGCAGCGCAUCGCGACGAUGACGGGCACUUGUGUUUUUGACAUGAUGCACGUCUGUUUUUGUCGACCUUUGAUUCAUGUAUAUAUGUAAAUUCUAUGGAAAUGUAUCAUAUGAAAUGUGAAUUCAUAACUCUGUGGUUGAUGUAAUCUUUAUUGUGUAUAUUCUCAAUAAUGAAAUACCUAUUAAUAUGAUA